rnacentral:lncRNA from 13 species
UUAUGUAAAUAUUUUUAUGCUUCAGUUUUAAUUUCUAAUAAAGUCAUUGUCAACAGAUGUAAUCUAUAGAAACAAAAGCACUCUGAGGUCUUCAAGAAUGUAAAGGGGUCCUGAGAUCCAAAGGGAUGAAAACCUCUGCUGUACCCUGGCCACCUAAGGGGCUGAAGCCCCCCAGCAGCAGUGCUCCUGGCUCUUGCUCCUGCCCCAGAACUGAGGGUUUUGGAGCACUUGUGCACUACAGAACGGAGAGACUGGAAGGAGCUUUCUGGAUCAUGAGGUUGGAACUGCUGGCAAAAGACUACAGCAUAACUUCCUUCUGGGUUAUAGGAAGAAACAUGAAUCCAGCCUCUUUGUGUGCCGUUUUGAAAAAUGGACAUGUUAUUGAAGUCCAGAGACAAACCUCUGAAUGAACUACAUCUGAACUUUUAAAAUUCUUUUUUUCCCCUCUUGGUUAAAUCUCAGUGGAGCCAGAGACAAUCAUCAUUUUCAUGAACACAAGCUAAAGGUUUGUUGCCUGUUGAGCAAAGUAGCUGCUUCCUAUUGCAAAAGAACUGAUUCCUAUUCGCAUUGCGUUGGUGUUUUCAUUGAAAUUUCCAUUAUCCUAUUCCUUACAAUGGAGUUAUAGAUGAAAAUUGUCCUGACUGUGUUUCUCAAGCAAAAUCUCUCCCAAUUCAAAAUAUGAGAAUGGAAUAGAAGAGGGAGAACCACAUUUCUCCACAUAUAGAUCAUCUUGGUAAGGAAAAGAUAUAUAUUUUUUGUCCUGGUGUUCAUAACCAUUUUACAUCAGAAUUGCUAGCUUCAUCAGCCACACAGGAAAAUAAUGGAUUAAAAUAGAGUCAUGGUGGUGGAUGUAAAGGUGGUAGUCUCUAAAGAUGCUCUGGUAAUAAUGGCAACCUGUGUGUUAGGGGUCUCCUCUGAGCCAGGCCCCACCCCAGAGCCCAUAACUUAUCCAUGCAUCCUGGGGAAACUACAUUCACUACCAAGUGGCCUUUGAUUGGUCUCAUUGGAAAAGUGGGAGGACAGCCCUGUCACAGCAUGGUGGUGCCAGUUCUGGCUCUGCGACAUGCUAGGUGACCUUGGCCAAGGAAUUUAUGCUCUCUGAGCCUCAGUUUUCUGACCUGGAAACCAAAGUGAAUCCGUUGAUCAUGAUACCGUCCCUAUCUUCCUUCUUCAGAAGCGUAGCAAUGGAGCAAAUGCAUUUGAAAGUGCUUUGUCGACUAGAAAGCUCUAUUCCGACAUAAGAAAGAUGGAUUGCCAAGAGUUAUAGAAAAAAAAAAAAAGGAUGAAUCCACCACGUCAGGUACAACCAAGUCAAUCAUUCUCCUCAGAGGAUGGUGCCAACCCUGUGCUCUCAGCCUCUACUGGAGAAAGGAAAAGUGAGCAUUAAGCCCUGUUUUAGUCCAUUUUGUU